ACUACGGGGGGCAGCCGUGAGGAAUAUUGGUCAAUGGGCUGGAGCCUGAACCAGCCAAGCCGCGUGAGGGAAGAAGGUACAGCGUAUCGUAAACCUCUUUUGUCAGGGAACAAAGGCGGGGACUAGUCCCCGGAUGAGGGUACCUGACGAAAAAGCAUCGGCUAACUCCGUGCCAGCAGCCGCGGUAAUACGGAGGAUGCGAGCUUUAUCCGGAUUUAUUUGGUUUAAAGGGUGCGAAGGCGGCUUGUUAAGUCAGCGUUAACAGGCCGGGGCCCAAACCCGGCGCGCCGUUGAAACUGGCGGGCGUGUGUGUGAGAGAAGUACGCUGAAUGCGUGGUGUAGGGGUGAAAUGCUUAGAUAUCGCGCAGAACCCCGAUUGCGAAGGCAGCGUACCGGCUCAACACUGACGCUGAGGCACGAAAGCGUGGGUAGCGAACAGGAUUAGAUACCCGGGUAGUC
rnacentral:rRNA from 1 species